UUUGGUUGGGGCCUUGCAUUCUUCAAAGCUCACACUUCCCACACACCAGCUUUUGUUCUCAUUCUACGCGUCCCAAGAUUUCACUCAACCAAUAUAAAGGACACACUCUAUGACCCUUCUCAGUCUUGUUGCUCAAGCUAAAAUCUUCCACCAUAUAUGACGCUGUAGCCAUUACUAUAUCUUCCAUUUUCUUCAGGCUCGAGGUCUUCUUUGGCCUGUUGUACGCCACCGCCAGCUGCUGCCCAACCCUUGGCUUGGAUGAAAACCUAGACUCCUCACUUUAUUCGGUACGCUGGCAGCCUUGCACAGAGAGAGAGAGAGAGAGAGAGAGAGAGAGAGAGAGAGAGAGAGAGAGAGAGAGCAGUGUAUUUUGGUCAGUGGCAGUGGGUGUUCUUUUGUUCUUUUCGUUUAAGAUCAUAUCUUCUCUAAAUCAGAAAUGUUGAAGAUGGGGUGGCUUGUCUUCAACCUCUUCCUUUUCUGUUUUCUGGGUCUUACUGGUGCAGGUCAAGAAAGUAUUCAAGUCCUUAAUCUUUGUGAUUCAACUCCAGAGGUUCUUCAAGCAAUGUCCAAGUCAGGUCAUCCCCUAGCGAUGUCUGUGAGUGAUGAAGACCUCAGUGGUGUUUCUGGCAGUGUUUUAAUGGCUGAGAGUUGGCUUAGGACCCAUGUUCUAGGUCACUUUCCUGCUACAAAUAUCACCACCAUUGUUGUGGGUGACACUCUUCUGUGCCAAGAUGGGCGGAAUCAUAACUGGGGUUUGGUUUUGCCAUCUCUUAAGAAUAUUUAUUACUCGCUUACUAGGUGGGGUUUGGAGAGAGAGAUCAAAGUUUCUGCUGCCUUUUCUUCUAACUGUUUUGAGCCAAAUUCUGCAGUUCCCAUAAAUGAUUUAGCUGAGAAAGUUAUUAAACCUCUGAUACAGUUUCUCCAUAGUAUAAACUCUACUUACUCUAUAAACCUGCCUCCAGAUUUCUCUCCUUUAUCAGAUGAAACUGUGAGCUUGGUGUCUUCUUUCUCAGAAUUACUACAAAAUUUUGGAUCUCUUGCCCUUAACGAAGCCAAUGUGAUUGUUACUGCCCCAAAACAGAAUGUACCCAAGAACAGGAAACUCUCAAACAUUGAAUCCAAGAUUCUAAAACCAGAAUCGUCACAACCCCCACUUCACUCCUCAAUUGGGUCCUCUGUCCCUUCCAAUGUAGCCAAAAACCCUCAUUCUCCACUAUCCCGUGCUGCUUCACCACCGCUGUCCUUCCCUCGUGCCUCUUUACCACCACUAUCAUACCCUGUUGAGUCUCCGCCUCCUAUGGCCUUCCCUUUUGCACCAGAACAGCCUCCCCCCACUGGUCCAGUCACAGCACCAUAUGGUUAUUCAUUUCCUCCCUGUAAUCCAGACAACACAAUAUCACCAGCACCAGAGGCAGGGGUGGUGCAGGAGCUGUGGUGUGUGGCUAAACCUAGUGUUCCUGUAGAGACAUUGCAGGAUGCAAUGGACUACGCUUGUGGUGAUGGUGGUGCUGAUUGUACAGAGAUUAUGCCUCAUGGUAGCUGUUUCUAUCCCGAUACUGUUGUUGCUCAUGCUUCUUACGCUUUCAACAGCUACUUUCAAAAGUCUAAGAGAAAUGGGGGUACUUGCAACUUUGGAGGGACUGCCAUGCUCGUCUCUUCUGACCCAAGUUUUCUUCACUGCCGAUUUCUUCUCAGCUAGGCACAGGGCAUAGAAAUGGUAGCUGGCGUAUGAUUGUGAGAUGAAUUUAUCUACUUAACCCGUUGAUAUGCAGUGAUUAACAUAGCAGCUGGCAUGGGAAAGGCUUUCGAUCGUCAGCGUCGGUAUCUUGAGGAUCGUAACACUACAUUCGGCGACCCAUGCUCUUUUAGGUUGAUGAACGGCCGAGUUUUAUUGCAUCUCCUUCUGUUUGAGUGAUGGCUUUGUUGUUCAUGUCUCAAACUUUUAGUUUCGAUGGUUCUAGUAGUCUUUGCUUUCGGCUGGUUUUCCAGUUUCCGGAUAGUAUUGCUUUGGUUUCUUGCAUGUAAUUUUCUUGGUUUGUCGUCCGUGAGUUUUUUCAUGUUUGAAUGUGUGUUCGAUUUAGUUUGUUGUUUUCUUUAUUUAUUUAAAUUCACAUAUUGUUGCUAUGGUUUUUUGUGGAGUUUUCUUCUGAGUUUGUAUAUUCUUUUGCUCUUCUUCUCAACUGUACUUUCGGUGAUGUUUGCUUC